rnacentral:lncRNA from 1 species
CGUAACCUACAUAUACUAAUUCACUAACACAAUCAGGGCAUGAACAAUCACUCGUAUCCAUCCUUGCACUAGUACACGAUCUCUCACUCUGGUUGUCUCCCGCUCUCCCCGCUCUUUCGUUCCGCCUCCGCGCUCACAACAUUCUAGGGUUCCGAUCGCCCCGCUAGCCCCGCUAGCCCGGACGUCCGUCGCCCCUCAUUCCACGUCGCUCACUAGCUAUAAUUCAACCUCCUGAACACCCCGGUCUUCCGGAUACAUCGC